AGUGAACGUUGGCGGCAUGGAUUAGGCAUGCAAGUCGAGCGAGAAGUGUAGCAAUACACGGAAAGCGGCGGAAGGGAGAGUAAUACGUGGGAAUCUGCCCUUAGACCUGGGAUAGCAGCGGGAAACUGCUGGUAAUACCAGAUAAUGUCUAUGGACCAAAGGUGUGAUUCCGUCUAGGGAUGAGCCCACGUCCUAUUAGCUAGUUGGUAGGGUAAUGGCCUACCAAGGCGAUGAUGGGUAGCGGGUGUGAGAGCAUGACCCGCCUCACUGGGACUGAGACACUGCCCAGACACCUACGGGUGGCUGCAGUCGAGAAUCUUCGGCAAUGGGCGCAAGCCUGACCGAGCGAUGCCGCGUGCGGGGUGAAGGCCUUCGGGUUGUAAACCGCUGUCGAGGGGGAGCAACUUCCAUAGAGUUAUCUUUAUGGAUUGAGUGAUCCCUGGAGGAAGGACGGGCUAAGUUCGUGCCAGCCGCCGCAGUAAAAC
rnacentral:rRNA from 1 species